AGUGGCGGACGGGUGAGUAACGCGUGGGAAUCUGCCUUGGGGUCGGGGACAACCACUGGAAACGGUGGCUAAUACCGGAUAAGCCGAUUGGUGAAAGAUUUAUUGCCCGAAGAGGAGCUCGCGUCUGAUUAGCUAGUUGGUGAGGUAAGAGCUCACCAAGGCAGCGAUCAGUAGCUGGUCUGAGAGGACGAUCAGCCACACUGGGACUGAGACACGGCCCAGACUCCUACGGGAGGCAGCAGUGGGGAAUUUUCCGCAAUGGGCGAAAGCCUGACGGAGCAAGACCGCGUGAGGGAGGAAGGCUCUUGGGUUGUAAACCUCUUUUCUCAGGGAAGAAGCUCUGACGGUACCUGAGGAAUCAGCCUCGGCUAACUCCGUGCCAGCAGCCGCGGUAAUACGGAGGAGGCAAGCGUUAUCCGGAAUUAUUGGGCGUAAAGCGUCCGCAGGUGGCGAUUCAAGUCUGCUGUCAAAGCACGGGGCUUAACUCCGUAAAGGCAGUGGAAACUGAAUAGCUAGAGUGCCGUAGGGGUAGAGGGAAUUCCCGGUGUAGCGGUGAAAUGCGUAGAGAUCGGGAAGAACAUCGGUGGCGAAAGCGCUCUACUGGACGGCAACUGACACUCAGGGACGAAAGCUAGGGGAGCGAAUGGGAUUAGAUACCCC
rnacentral:rRNA from 1 species